GAAAAAAGGGAACUUGGAAGUUCAGUCAACAACUUCAUGGUCUCUCACUCAUAGACCAACUGGACCACUCUGUUCGUCUCACCAAGGCCUGGUCAUGAUGUCUAAUACAACUUGUCUCCGUGCAAACUCUACCACAGACUGCCUAGACCCAGCUUCUUUAGGUUUUUCUGUGGGAUAUGCUGUGGGUCUUCCUCUGUUCUUCAUAGUUCUGGGAGUAGUGAUUGCGCUGAUCUAUACCAAGCGCAGUAAAUGUAGGAAUAUGUGGCAGUUAGAUCAACUCAAGAGCACAGAGGUCAACACACGUCAGCUUGAGGGUUCCCAAUACACGGCCAUGGUCCGACCACCACCCGCUGAUCAUAGCCCUAUCUACGAGAACUUCACUGACUCCAACAAGACAAUCAUCAACAUGAAAAGGUCACCCGCUGAACCUGAGGACGUAUAUCUGCAGUGUGAUUUACCCGAUGAUGCAAUUUACAGCAACGACAUGUCCUGUAGCCUGGCCAUACUGCCUCCUGAGGAAGAUAUUUAUAUAAUGCCAGAUGUUCUAUAGUUACAGCCAUAAAGAUGACCCUAUUCAAAUCCAAACAGUCAUAUUUUUGUAGGACAGGAAGAGGAAUCAAAGGAGCCAAUAUGUUCUGGUGACUGUAUGUUUUAUCCACCUCUGAAGGAAACUUGGCCAUAUUGACAAAAACAUUUGUCUUAAUUAGAAUCUUUUGCUUUGUUUUACAGACUAAAAAGUAUGUUAUUAUGUUAUUGUACAUAUUUUAGUCAGUGCCUGCUAGGUUCGGCACAGUGCAACAACUUUUUGGGGCAAAUUUAAAUAUAAGUAGCAGUUUAGCCCAAAAUGUAAAACAUUUUUACAGUGAACUUUUUCACUCUGUAGUUAGGGAGAAGUCGAAAUGUACCCAAUUGUUACCCAGAGGGGUGUGUUGCCUAAAAGAUUGGCUGUGCUGUGUACACUGCCACUUCAGGAGGCGAUUCUUCCCCCCCAGUAUGGGGCCCAUUAUGGGGUAUUGUGUGUAGGCCAAUGACAAAAAGUCUUCUCCAUUUUAAAUUGAGGCUGUAACAAAACACAAUGUGGAAAAGUCAAGGGGUGUGAAUACUUUCUGAAGGCACUGUAUAGCAGUCUUGUUGACAGGUCUCGAGAACGGUCUGGAGCCCACAUAUUGAGUGUCUCGGUGUUGUCUCAGUGUAUGAUACAUUUGGACUCGGUCUUGACUCGGUCUCGGACAGUGGGGACUCAUAAAUAGUUGCCUAGACCAAUGGAGUAAAAAAACUCCUAAUUACCAGCUUCCAUUCAGUCCAGUGUUGCAAUUUAGGUUUUUUUGGCCAAAAUUAGUCAACUUUAAAAACAAUGUUGCGGGUGAAAAUGUAUUGGUCGCGGGUGCCAGAUUUUUGGCGGUACUUCUAAAUUGCACCACGACCGCCAUGGCAUUUCUCUUAAAAAUAUAUACAUAUAUUUCACUGUGACCUGCUGCCUCUGACUAUCAGGCAGUGAGCAGGCUGUAACUGAGAGAGUGAGUCAGUGAGUGAGCAUGUGAAUGUGGGAGAGGGAGAGGGCCGAAGGGGUGCGUGUGUGCUUUGAGAGAGUGCUGCAGCUGAGUCACGGAGGCAGAGCAGCACCAGUGCACUUUGUGACCACUGUUUACCAGUUGUAGGUAGGCUAUUUAGGUUGGUCAUUAUGGAGGCACACCUUUUCCAUAAAACACAUAUUACCACACUAGAACAGCAACAAAGCUUUGGACAACGACUUUAGGGGCACUAGAACUGUUUAGAUAAGUUUGCUCAGAGGUGGUUUAAAGUAAACUGCAUUCUUUAAUGUCAGUUUCAUUGUGGACUUUUCCCAGAAAUGAUAUGUUGGCAUGUUGGCCUAUCAUGGGCUAUAGACUACCUGCAUCUAUCUCAGUAAACCACUGCAAAGUUUAGUUGCAGUUAUAAACCCAGAUUUUAGUCAGUAGACCAUUUAUAAAUAGCAAAUAGACCAUUUAUAAUAGUUUGCAGUCUUAACAUCUGGCACAAAAUGACGGCACAAUUGACAGAAAAUAGCCUAACAUUUGUUUUUUUAAGUUCAUCCAAGUGUUUCUUGCGCAGAGAUUGAGAUGCUCUGUCCAACCUUCAUCACUUAAACUCUCCUUUCGGAUUUAUCUAUAGUUAUGCACAUGCUACAAUUAUAAACUGGGUGGUUUGAGCCCUGAAUGCUGAUUGGUUGAAAGCCAUGGUAUAUCAGAUGUGGAAUGACAACUUGUUUUGAAUGCUAUGAUUAAGCAAUAAAGCCCAAGGAGGUAUGGCCAAUAUACCAUGGCUAAGGGCUGUUCUUUGUGGUAUAUGGUCAAUAUACUACGACUAAGGGAUAUGUCCUAAGAACAGUCAUUAGCCAUGGUAAAUUGGCCAUGUACCACACCUCCUUGGGCUUUCUUGCUUAAUCAUAAUCAUAAUCAAAAUAAUCUAUUGAGGGAAAAUUAUCGGGAGAGUUUAAUAAGGGAGAUUUAUCUUUUCUCUUGUGAUAUGUUCUUAAACUCGCAAUAAUUAUUAUUUUGAUGGAAAAACUAAUUGAGCUUUUUAGUCUGUCGUAAAAAAUAAAGUCAAUAUUCCUUCUUAAUUCAAUUGAUAACAUUAAAAAAAGUGGAAAAAGUGUUUAUUGGAUAAAUGUGGCAAGUCCUCUUUUGCUGCAAAAAAUUAUUUGUGCUAGUUUUCAGGCCUUGUGGGCGGGUUUUCCGAGGUCAUUGGGCUAGAAAUUUUAGCCAGACCUGGCAACCCUGAUUCUGUCAGGGCAUAAAACCACUUCGCUUGGCCAAAUAUAUACACAUUAAUAUCUUAACAUCCUUAUCUAUUAUAGACAUGUUUGCACACUGGUGAACCUAUAGGCCUUCAGUGUGUGACAGGUUAGUACAGUGGUGAACCUAUAGGCCUUCAGUGUGUGACAGGUUUGUGAUUCUGAAAGGACAGCAACCGUAAUACCAGUGAACUCAUGUAGGAGACUGCACUUUUUGUAAAAACACAAAGGUCCAGUGGUGUAGUGGAGGGUAUAUGCAGGUAUAAACCCAACAAUCUCACACUCAAUUCAUGCAAAUAUGUACAAACAGAAUUUCAGCAGAUGUUGUGUGUUAUUGUGUGGCUUAAUUUGUGUGAAAAGACACUUCGUUCAUAGGAAAAUACAUUUUUGGGGGAUGAUGGUGUUGGGGGAUGAUGGUGUUGGUGCGUGAUGGUGUUGGUGCAUGAUGGUGUUGGUGCAUGAUGGUGUUGGUGCAU